GAACUUUUAUCCUCGGGGACAUUUUCAUCCACCUGCUCUUGCUCUUUGACACCCUCCAUCCCUGACAUUAUGUAAUGUCCUUCAACAACAUUUCCAGCCAAAACAAUUAAUUUAAAAUCGUUACCGUAUUAGCACAAAAUAAUAAUGGAAGUGAUUAAUUCGCCAUUUUCACAUGCAAUUAAUCACCGAAUUCUCUUUAAUUAAACCUUCCAAAGCUAAGAUUCUGCUGGAUCUAAAUCAACUAAACACCACAAUUCCUCCAUCCAAAUACUAUAUAUAAACAAAAUUAAGUAAA
rnacentral:misc_RNA from 1 species